GAAUUGCAUUCGAUACUGGUCAGCUAGAGUAUGGGAGAGGAUGGUAGAAUUCCAAGUGUAGCGGUGAAAUGCGUAGAGAUCUGGAGGAAUACCGAUGGCGAAGGCAGCCAUCUGGCCUAAUACUGACGCUGAGGUACGAAAGCAUGGGGAGCAAACAGGAUUAGAUACCCUGGUAGUCCAUGCCGUAAACGAUGUCUACUAGCCGUUGGGGCCUUUGAGGCUUUAGUGGCGCAGCUAACGCGAUAAGUAGACCGCCUGGGGAGUACGGUCGCAAGACUAAAACUCAAAUGAAUUGACGGGGGCCCGCACAAGCGGUGGAGCAUGUGGUUUAAUUCGAUGCAACGCGAAGAACCUUACCUGGUCUUGACAUAGUAAGAACUUUCCAGAGAUGGAUUGGUGCCUUCGGGAACUUACAUACAGUUGCUGCAUGGCUGUCGUCAGUUCGUGUCGUGAGAUGUUGGCAUAAGUCCCGCAACGAGCGCAACCCUUUUCCUUAUUUGCCAGCACUUCGGGUGGGAACUUUAAGGAUACUGCCAGUGACAAACUGGAGGAAGGCGGGGACGACGUCAAGUCAUCAUGGCCCUUACGACCAGGGCUACACACGUGCUACAAUGGUCGGUACAAAGGGUUGCUACCUAGCGAUAGGAUGCUAAUCUCAAAAAGCCGAUCGUAGUCCGGAUUGGAGUC
rnacentral:rRNA from 1 species